CCAGAAUAAAUGGCCAUGAUACUACAGUUGAGGAAACAUUCUGGUUUACUCAGAUGAAUAGAUAUGUACCUGUGGAUCUGAGAACAGACUCAAGGUACGCAGGUCGUUUGCAGUACAGUUGUUCUAACAACAUCUGCACUCUGAGAAUCACAGACCUGAGAGAGAGCGACUCAGCUGAGUACAAGUUCAGGUUCAUAACAAACCAACCAAAAGGAAGAUAUACUGGUUCACCUGGAGUCACUUUGUCUGUCAGAGGUUUGCAGGUGGAGUGGAGCAGCUCAAAAGCACAGGUUAAGUGUCACAGCAGCUGUCGUCUACUUGAUCAAACCUCCUACAUCUUGUACAAGAAUGGACAGACAAUUGACAAAGAAACAUCUUAUUCAGCUGACAUUUCUCCUGCAGACAGUUAUUCCUGUGCUGUGAAAGGACUGGAGGGUUUCCCCUCUCCUUCAGUGUGUGUCCGUGGUCAAACCUGCAACAGAGUGACUUACACUGACAGAAGCAUCUGUGCCUUCAAAGGCUCAUCAGUGGACAUUUCUUGUACUUACAACAGUUAUUACACAGAUAUCAGAUCUAAAUUCUGGU